GGACCGCAUGGCUAAGGGACCUGGCUGCCCUGCCUGCUGGGGGCUGGCUCUCUGCUGUCACCGCUGCUGGUCCCCUCCACGCCACAGACGCGCUCCAGAAUGGAGACGAAGCGCGCGGACGGCGGACGGACCGGACGGCUCCUCCCCCAGCCAGGCUGCUCCGCCAGCUCCGGACGGCUCCUCCCCAGCCAGGCUGCUCCGCCAGCUCCGGGAGGGCGCUCACCGGCUGCUGUCAGCACAGGGGCCCUUGGGGAGGGUGCCUGGCCGCUCCCGUGCCUCCUCCCGGGCACACGGCGCCGUGUGGAGGAGCGCCGGGCUUUGCUCGCUCGGCCCAGACUCCUCUCCAGCCGGCGCUCGGCCGCCGAGGUGCACAGGCUGGGCUGGCUCUGCCUCCUCGCCCCGCUGGCCGGAGCAGGGUGGGGGUCGGAACCUGGGCCGGAAGCAAAGUCCGCUGCUGCGCCUUUUCCUUGCGGGGAGGCCUGGGUGGCCCCGAGGGCUCCCCCUCCUGAGGGGCUCCCCCACCACCUCAAGCUCCUCGCUGAGCGCAGCAGCCACUCAGGCAGUGCUGGCCGGCCGAGCGGGCCCUGUGAGAGCAGCGCGUGUGACACCUUGUCGGUGUCGGCUCCUGGAUCUGUGUAAUUAGCACGGCUGCUCUGGCCGGGGCGAUGCUGUCUGUGGCGGUCAGAGCAGGAAGACAGCUCCCUGUCUGCAGACUGGAUCGGGCCAUCGCACGGUCUCAGACUCCUCUCCUGGCUUAGGGACCAGGGUGCCGACCACAGCCCCGUGGAUAGGAGGAGAACUGCAGCGGCCAGCCAGACUCUAUGACCGUCCCUGUGACUGCCUGGCCUGCCCUUCCCUGGAGAGCCCAGCAGCAUCGGCAGGGACACAGUGAGGCCAGAGGGCUCCCAGCUCACAGAGGAGGUAGCAGCAGCAGAUGCCACUGUGAAGAGAACAGAUAAAGCGUCCAGAGUCCUCACAAAAAAUUCGAGAGGACUUUGAGUGGGACCCUUCGGCUGUAGGGGCUGGAUCUUGAAGAACACAUAGAACACGGGAAGCGCAGUGGUUUAAGUGCAUGAACCCGAAGCCGGA
rnacentral:lncRNA from 1 species